GACGAACGCUGGCGGCGUGCUUAACACAUGCAAGUCGAACGGAAAGGCCUGCAGCUUGCUGCGGGUACUCGAGUGGCGAACGGGUGAGUAACACGUGGGUGAUCUGCCUUGCACUUCGGGAUAAGCUUGGGAAACUGGGUCUAAUACCGGAUAGGACAGCUGUUUAGUGUCAGUUGUGGAAAGUUUUUUCGGUGCAAGAUGAGCUCGCGGCCUAUCAGCUUGUUGGUGGGGUAAUGGCCUACCAAGGCGUCGACGGGUAGCCGGCCUGAGAGGGUGUACGGCCACAUUGGGACUGAGAUACGGCCCAGACUCCUACGGGAGGCAGCAGUGGGGAAUAUUGCACAAUGGGCGGAAGCCUGAUGCAGCGACGCCGCGUGGGGGAUGAAGGCCUUCGGGUUGUAAACUCCUUUCGACAGGGACGAAGCGUAAGUGACGGUACCUGUAUAAGAAGCACCGGCUAACUACGUGCCAGCAGCCGCGGUAAUACGUAGGGUGCGAGCGUUGUCCGGAAUUACUGGGCGUAAAGAGCUCGUAGGUGGUUUGUCGCGUCGUCUGUGAAAUUCCGGGGCUUAACUCCGGGCGUGCAGGCGAUACGGGCUGACUUGAGUGCUGUAGGGGAGACUGGAAUUCCUGGUGUAGCGGUGAAAUGCGCAGAUAUCAGGAGGAACACCGAUGGCGAAGGCAAGUCUCUGGGCAGUAACUGACGCUGAGGAGCGAAAGCAUGGGUAGCGAACAGG
rnacentral:rRNA from 1 species